ACACAGGGGCAGGGUAGAGGUGCAGAGGGAGGGAAAGAGAGAAAAAUCUUAGGCUCCAUGCCCAGCAUAAGCCCGAUGUAGGACUCCAUCUCACCACUCUGCAAUUAUGACCUGAGUGGAAAUCAAGAGUUGGACGCUGAGUGGAACCGACGGAGAUAUCUAGGCACCCCAUAAAUGUUCACUUAUCUUGGAUAGAUUCCUGGGAGUGAAUUGCUGAGUCAUAUGGUAAUUUUUGCUUAACUUUUAGAGAAAUUAUUUUCUGAGGUGGUCACACCAUUUUGCCAUACCACCAGCAAUGCAUGAGGAUUCCAGUUUUCCCACAUCCUUGCCAAAGCUUGUUAGUGUCUUCUAUUAUAGCUAUCCUAGUGGGGGGUGAAGUGGUAUCUCAUUGUGGUUUUAAUGAUUCCUGCCCUUCCUAAUGCUACAGAUAGAGCAUCUUUCAUGUGCUUAUUAGUCAUUCAUUUUCUGUGGUGAAACAUCAGCCUCUUUGGCCAUUGCUUCUGAAAAUCCCAAGAGAGGGAGAUUAUAAAUUUCCCUGGGGGUAGAGUAGGGGGCUUUCUUGUUUUCUUAACUGCCUGAUCUCAACUGCCUAAUACAGGAGUUGAGAGUGGAAGGCCAUGUGCUAGUUUCUGCUGGCUGCUGUAACCAGUUAUUACAAACCUGAUGGUUUAAAACAACACACGUUUAUUCUCUUACAGUUCUGGAAAUCAGAAGGUCUGAAAUCCGUUUCACCGGGUCAAACUCAAGUUAUCAACAGAGCCUCCAGGGGAAACAUCCAUUUACUUGUCUUUUCCAGUUUCGAGAGCUGCAUUCUUUGGCCUCUGGCCCCUUACCCAUCUUCAAAUAGCACUCACAGGCUCCAAGGAUUAGGACCUGGAUAUCUUCAGGGGCCCGGAUUCAUUCCCCCCAACCCAGUCAGUAACCAACCACCAGGCCUCACCUGCGCAUGCCCUGGAGUUGGCGGCUCCUGAGGAAGACCUGACCUGGGAAGCCUUUGGAAGCACAGGCUUUGUCCUCAUGGCAAACUUCAAGGCCAACAAAAGACAAAGGCAGAAGCAAGGCUGCCUCUGGACAACUGAGACAUUCCUUGCCCUCUCUGGCCCGAUGGAGACUGCCUAGUCUGCUGGCGGGAAAGCAUGGUGUGUGUUCCUCUCUUGGAGCUGAUGAGCCCUAGAACUGGGAACCCUUUCUCUGUCUUCUGGUGGCAUUUUGUUCUGUUCUUCACUGUCAGAAAACAAGAAGAGCACCCCCCUGGACCUAACACCCCCCCCCCACUCCGGAUCUUCCUACCCAGGUCUCAGGUAAACAUUCGAAGUGGAGUCGGCCCAGGUGGAACGUAAAUCAGUAUUUGAACUAAGUUAAGUUUGUUGGGUUAAUUAGGAUGAACAUGUCUUUUGAGUUAACAGUAGUAAAUGUGAAACUUCAGAAUUUUACUUCAGGUCAAAUAAGCUCGUGUUAUCUGUUAAAAUCUGUGUUAAAAUCUGUUGGGUUAAAAUCUGUUAGCAAAGAGAUGACUAAACGGAUGGUUAAUUGUCUGUCUCAAAGUUUUAAUGAGUAAUUGUUAAAGUAACUUUUAAAGUCUUUGGUAACCUAAAAUUUUAAACCAAAUGGGAUAAAAUGCUAGAGCGCGGUAGCUGGAACUAGGUUUAUGCUAUUGAAAUCUGUUGGUAAAUAUGUUUUGUGCUUAACUGAUUGAUAAAUUUGCCAUCUAAAGAAUUCUGUUAUAACAGUUCACAAUUGGUUUAUAUUUAAUCUUCAGUAGAGGUUAAGAUUUUUCUAAGAGUACAAAAUUCUCCUAAGUGUAAUUAAGGCUGAUGGAAAUAAGGGAAACAACUCUGUAGAUAAGUAGGAAAUAUGUAAAAAGGAGAGAAAAAUACCAGAUGCCUGAUCCUGUUUGAAUAAGAAAGAAAAACAGGCCCAGGGCCACUGUCUGAGCUAGAUCCAUUCCUAAAGAAUGGAAGGGGAGAUCCAGUGAGGGGAGGUGUCCAACCUGUUUGAAUCUGAAGAGUGCCUGACUGUAUGAAUAUGUCUGUAUGGCUCCACCGCUUCGUCUACAGAGUCUGAGUGGGCUCUACCCCGAGUCUUGCGGGGCGUCGUAUGGCAUAACGGUCAUCUACUCCAUGGAGUAGCCUGGUCCGGGGUUUAUACAGACAGACCUUAGCUAAAAUGCUCCUAAGUUCCCGCGAGUGAUGUGAGCAGGACAGCAUCUGAAAGAUCCCCCUCCCUUUGUCUGCUACAUCAGUCACGAUGGGAGGGAAACCCAGAACACUCAUAUCUUUUUUUAAAUUUUUUUAAAAAGAUUUUAUUUAUUUGACACAGAGAGAGAGAUCACAAGUAGGCAGAGAGGCAGGCAGAGAAAGAUGGGGAAGCAGGCUCCCUGCUGAGCAGAGAGCCCGAUGUGGGGCUCGAUCCCAGGACCUUGAGAUCAUGACCUGGGCCGAAGACAGAGGCUUAACCUAUUGAGCCACCCAGGCGCUCCGAAAACUCAUAACUUAAGACCACACGCUUAAAAAUAAAUAAAAAUUUAAAAAAAAAAAAAAAAAAGGAAAGACACUGGUAUAGAAAAGCUUGUUUUCUCUCUGUUUAAAAGGGCAAAGUUUUCUUCGGUUAAUUGAAAUGUAAAUGGAUUUCUCUUUGCCUGCCCAGAGUUGUAAAUGAGAUCUCUUUGGCUCAUAAGGCUUCCUUGCUAAGUUACUGAUAAACCUUGGGUUACAUUUUGUAGCUACUCUAGAGGUUCUAUACAGUUCCUAGAGUUUAAUGUUUUGAUAAGGGUCAUCACUUAAUAUUUAACUAUAUCUGUUCUGAAUUUUUGUCAUUUGUAAUUGUUUUAGUCUCUUGUAAGAUGAAUUCCACCUUAAUGGAAAUUCAUAUGGGAAGACUUUCAGAACAAAUACAGGUCUUUGAUAUGUUAAAAUCCUGGGAACUGAAAUGGGUAAAAAUUUACAGAAGUAAGGGCUACAUUCGGACUAAACCAGAAUUAGUAACAUGGGACUAGAUGAACUGAAAGGUUGUAAUGUUGUGUCUCUUAAUGUUUUAAACAUUACUGGUUCUGUAAUCUUUGCUCCUCUAGACUAGGAAAACUUUUUCUUAAGUUACCUGUAACUUAUAAAGAUGUAAAGGUGUUCAUUUGUAAACAAAUCAAGGCAUUCAACUUUUCUCUCUAUCUGAACCCUCUGAAACCAAAAGGGCUCAAUAAGUAUUCUUCCUUGGCAAUCAGACAUUUGCAUAAGUUCAAUAAGAAUCUGUUCUCCUUGUAACAGGACACUAUUGGAAACAUGGGUUAUUUAUCAUGGCUUUGACUGGGAUGUCAUAUUUGAAAAGACUCAGAUAUGACCAGACAGCUUAAAGGAACUAAGGUUGACUUUACAAAACCUGGACCUGUAAAGCCCUUUGGAACUGCUGGCCUGAUACCUUGCUUACAGAGUUCCCAGCAGCCUCACCAAGGGAGUAAAGAAUGUCACUCCCUGGUAGCAGCAGGAGCCUCAAGAUACUUUGGGUACCUCAGGGAGAGGAAUUUGCCCAAAUGGACAGGUACUGCAGGCAUGUCUGAUGGCAAGUAUGUGGCUUGGCUUCUGGCCCGGAGAGGCUACUAAAAGUUCAACCUAGAGAUUCCUUAUAAAAAGU